ACAAAUCAAUUGCUGGAAUUAUUAGAGAAAGAGGGAUGGUGUCCAUCGGAGAUGUUGUCCGUGCUGUUGCAACUGAGCAUAGGGAUGAGCUGAAAAUGCUUACAUACAAGGAGGUUACUAGAUGGUGAUGACGAUAAACAAAUGGAUCAAGCGCUUAAUCUUGUAAAUAUUGGCAUGCUUGAAUCUAUGAUGCGCCUCUGGAAGUAGCCUAUUACACUUCUUUUUCAGUUUAGUGUACUUUUAACUAGCAGAUGUUUAGGAUGGCAAUUUCUCUACACAAAAUAACAGCAGUUUCAUCUUGAUUUAAGGGAUUACCAUUCACAUAUUCUCAUGAGCA